AUUGUGGAAGGAGAUGGUGAGGAAGAUCUAAUAUCAGCUUCCUAUGAUUCUGAACUGGAUCUAGGGUUGUGGACUGAAUGAAAAGAAGGCAUUUGCCAGAUUAGUAGCUGAAUUUAGGUGCCAGGGGCUUCACUGAUCUACUCCAGUAAAGAUUUGCAACUCAAAACUGACAACAUUUGCCACAAUUGACAUCAAUAUUUAGGAUCUGUCUGGCAUCUGCACUAGCAAAAUGGAGCCUGUGGAUCAGUUAGUCACUGCUACAGAUCCCUGUGCAUCAAAGCACUCUGAUUCUCUGGCUUACUAUAGUAAGGGAGCUCACCUAGUGGUUAAAUGCUAUUACUUGGUCUCUACACUCCAAGAUCCCAUUAUUCUCAAUGAGGUCAAAGAACCCAAUUCCACUGGGCAUUUUUAUUGUCAUCUCCAGUUUGCAGAAAACAGUUUUUUAGAACAGGAAGUUAACUAAAGAUGCCUUUAUUCAUCUGCUUAAGCCAAGGAUACGUCUUAGGAGGACCAUGCAAUAGAACAGAAGAACCCUCUUGGAGUAGGGAUCCAACCAGAAGAGGUGUUGUACCAAGGAAAGGAAACCAAAAUAGAAGUUGGCUAUGCAUUCCAGAUGGCAUAGCUGCAACACAGUGGAGCAUCUGUCAGCCUAGUUCCCUGAGUGACUAUAUGGAGCAGAGUCAACACUCCUUCCUUAAAUCUGGAUGAGACAUGUAAUUCGGGGGAGAAAUAAACUUUUAUUGUCUUUAA